rnacentral:rRNA from 1 species
AUUGAACGCUGGCGGCAGGCCUAACACAUGCAAGUCGAACGAGUGGCGGACGGGUGAGUAAUGUCUGGGAAACUGCCCGAUGGAGGGGGAUAACUACUGGAAAAGGUAGCUAAUACCGCAUCCCAUCGGAUGUGCCCCGAUGGGAUUAGCUAGUAGGUGGGGUACCGGCUCACCUAGGCGACGAUCCCUAGAUGGUCUGAGAGGAUGACCAGCCACACUGGAACUGAUACACGGUCCAGAUUCCUACGGGAGGCAGCAGUGGGGAAUAUUGCACAAUGGGCGCAAGCCUGAUGCAGCCAUGCCGCGUGUAUGAAGAAGGCCUUCGGGUUGUAAAGUACUUUCAGCGAGGAGGCGUUACUCGCAGAAGAAGCACCGGCUAACUCCGUGCCAGCAGCCGCGGUAAUAC